UACAGAGGGGGCAAGCGUUGUUCGGAAUCACUGGGCGUAAAGGGCGCGUAGGCGGGCUGGCAAGUCGGUCGUGAAAUCCUUCGGCUCAACCGAAGAACGUCGGCCGAUACUGCCGUUCUUGAGGGAUGCAGAGGAGAUUGGAAUUCCCGGUGUAGCGGUGAAAUGUGUAGAGAUCGGGAGGAACACCGGUGGCGAAGGCGGCGAUCUGGACGAUGACUGACGCUGAGACGCGAAAGCGUGGGGAGCAAACAGG
rnacentral:rRNA from 1 species